UACGUAGGGGGCUAGCGUUGUCCGGAUUUAUUGGGCGUAAAGAGCGUGUAGGCGGCCAGGUAGGUCUGCUGUGAAAACUCGAGGCUCAACCUCGAGACGUCGGCGGAAACCAUCUGGCUAGAGUCCGGAAGAGGAGAGUGGAAUUCCUGGUGUAGCGGUGAAAUGCGCAGAUAUCAGGAAGAACACCAGUGGCGAAGGCGGCUCACUGGCCCGGUACUGACGCUGAGGCGCGAAGGUCAGGGGAGCAAACGGG
rnacentral:rRNA from 1 species